AACCCAAAGGGCUAAGUCUUCUUUCUUAAUUUUUAAAACAAGCAUGUGUUUUGUUCUUUACAUGAAUCGUCUGGUUCUCCCAGUGUGAUCACGACACUGUCCCAUGCUGAUUCCAUGCACGGUGCAACUCUUUCCCAAGAGAGAUUCUAACUCAGGACACCUGGGAGAGGACCCGAGCUGCAUUUCUCACAGCUACCAGAUGCUGCACGCUGGCAAGGUUUUGGGAUGCACUGAAUCCAGUUCAGCAUGUUUACUGAGCAUAUACCACAUAGAGAGCCCAGAUGAUACAAAAAUGAGAAGAUGGGUUGUACCUGCCCUUGAGGAGCUAACAAGCUUGUAAACUGAGGCCCAGAAAGGUUCAGCCAUCUGCCUGAGGUCACACAGCCACAGUUUGGACCUGAGCCAUCAAUCAUCCACCAAAAGCCUGCAUUGACCCUAGAAGAUUCCGUUGCAUGUUGUCAAGGCGCUUAGUUUCUCUCUUGUGUCUCCCAAAAACAUAAACCUGGAAUGGAAGAGAGCCACUUACUCUAUAGAUGCUUUUAGCUCAGAACGCUUCAAGCUUUUGGAGUAUGAGAAAUAAUAACAAUCAUUCCAUUCUUUCCUGGAGUUUGAUCUCAGCUGUUGGUGAUAUUGUUGGGACUGAUUUGCUAUCUAUAAAGCCAAAUUUGAGAAAAGACAGGUUAAAAAUAAACAGGGAGGAUGAUGUUAGUAAAAAUAA
rnacentral:sRNA from 1 species